rnacentral:rRNA from 1 species
UGUCGUCAGCUCGUGUCGUGAGAUGUUCGGUUAAGUCCGCUAACGAGCGCAACCCUCGCUGUGUGUUAUAUGUGUCACACGGGACUGCCGGUAAAAGCCGGAGGAAGGUGAGGAUGAUGUCAAGUCAGCAUGACCUUUAUAUCCAGGGCUACACACACGCUACAAUGGUCUGUACAAUGGGUAGCCAAGCCGCGAGGCGGAGCCAAUCCUGAAAGCAGGCCUCAGUUCAGAUUGCAGUCUGCAACUCGACUGCAUGAAGCCGGAGUUGCUAGUAACCGCAGGUCAGCAAUACUGCGGUGAAUACGUUCCCGGGUCUU